GCUUUAUAAAUAAUUUAAAUUUGAUUAGUUUAGUAAUUAAAGAUUAGAUUUAAUUAUUUUAUUUUGUUGGGGUGAUAUGAGUAUAAGUGUUAUUAACUGCUUAAUUAGAAUUCUAUUAUUGGAGAGUUAAUAUAGUGUAUGAUCCUUUUUAAAGAUUAGAAGACUAAGUU
rnacentral:rRNA from 1 species